CGGUAGAAGAUCUUCGGAUCUUUGAGAGCGGCGUACGGGUGCGGAACACGUGUGCAACCUGCCUUUAUCGAGGGGGAUAGCCUUUCGAAAGGAAGAUUAAUACCCCAUAAUAUAAUGAGUGGCAUCACUUAUUAUUGAAAACUCCGGUGGAUAGAGAUGGGCACGCGCAAGAUUAGAUAGUUGGUAGGGUAACGGCCUACCAAGUCAGUGAUCUUUAGGGGGCCUGAGAGGGUGAUCCCCCACACUGGUACUGAGACACGGACCAGACUCCUACGGGAGGCAGCAGUGAGGAAUAUUGGACAAUGGGUGAGAGCCUGAUCCAGCCAUCCCGCGUGAAGGACGACGGCCCUAUGGGUUGUAAACUUCUUUUGUAUAGGGAUAAACCUUUCCACGUGUGGAAAGCUGAAGGUACUAUACGAAUAAGCACCGGCUAACUCCGUGCCAGCCGCCGCGGGUAAUACAA
rnacentral:rRNA from 2 species